ACAAAAAAAACUAAAUAAAUUUAAAAUUGAAAAUGUCCAUAAACAACUCAAAACGAGUCAAAAUAUUUUCAAAAUUGGGUGUUGUAUAGUUUUACUGUCCAAAAUUCCAAACGGUGAUGAAAGACUCAAACACACAAAAAGUAAAGAAAAUUAUCCAUAUUUGUACAAUGGUUUUUACAAAUAUUUAAAUUUGAAUACUGUAAUUUCUUAACGCAGUAACACAAUAUUAUUAUGGUCUUAUAAUUAAUAUUUAUCUUGGUAACAUUGUAUAUCUAUUAGAUUUAUUUUUCAUUUUAAAUAUCUAGAAAACAGGUUUAAAACGAAAAUCGUUGAAGUUUUUGAAUCUGGCAACUUCAACCACCAACACCACCACCACCACCACAAUCGCCACCACUGCUACCGCCGUCACCGCCACCACCGUUACCGCUAUCACCACCACCAGCACCACUAACGUUGUUACCGCCGCCGCCACCACCACUACCACUGUAAAUGUUACCGCCACCACCACUACCACUGUUACCGCCACCACCACCACCAACGACGACGUGGAAAUUUUUGUAUAACAUAUUUGAGUGAGACAACUUAUCACUGCCACAAACUAAGAAGAGACUUCUCGUCCUCGUCACCUAGUAGGUACUGAUUUCUGCUGUGCGAUUUUUUUUUUUUUGUAAACAACAUGCGAAU